UACGGAGGGUGCAAGCGUUAUUCGGAUUUACUGGGCGUAAAGAGUGUGUAGGCGGUGUUCCGAGUCCGUUGUGAAAUCUCCCGGCUUAACUGGGAGGGUGCAGCGGAAACUAGAAUGCUAGAGGGUGGGAGAGGUAAGCGGAAUUCCUGGUGUAGCGGUGAAAUGCGUAGAUAUCAGGAGGAACACCUGUGGUGUAGACAGCUUACUGGACCACUUCUGACGCUGAGACACGAAAGCGUGGGUAGCAAACAGG
rnacentral:rRNA from 1 species